rnacentral:rRNA from 1 species
AUUGAACGCUGGCGGCAGGCCUAACACAUGCAAGUCGAACGGUAACAGGAAGCAGCUUGCUGCUUUGCUGACGAGUGGCGGACGGGUGAGUAAUGUCUGGGAAACUGCCUGAUGGAGGGGGAUAACUACUGGAAACGGUAGCUAAUACCGCAUAACGUCGCAAGACCAAAGAGGGGGACCUUAGGGCCUCUUGCCAUCGGAUGUGCCCAGAUGGGAUUAGCUAGUAGGUGGUGUAACGGCUCACCUAGGCGACGAUCCCUAGCUGGUCUGAGAGGAUGACCAGCCACACUGGAACUGAGACACGGUCCAGACUCCUACGGGAGGCAGCAGUGGGGAAUAUUGCACAAUGGGCGCAAGCCUGAUGCAGCCAUGCCGCGUGUAUGAAGAAGGCCUUCGGGUUGUAAAGUACUUUCAGCGGGGAGGAAGGGAGUAAAGUUAAUACCUUUGCUCAUUGACGUUACCCGCAGAAGAAGCACCGGCUAACUCCGUG